UACGGGGGGGGCAAGCGUUGUUCGGAAUUACUGGGCGUAAAGGGCUCGUAGGCGGCCAACUAGUCAGACGUGAAAUCCCUCGGCUUAACCGGGGAACUGCGUCUGAUACUGGAUGGCUGAGUUGGGAGAGGGAUGCGGAAUUCCAGGUGUAGCGGUGAAAUGCGUAGAUAUCUGGAGGAACACCGGUGGCGAAGGCGGCAUUCUGGACCAAUCUGACGCUGAGAGCG
rnacentral:rRNA from 1 species